rnacentral:rRNA from 1 species
GACGAACGCUGGCGGCGUGCUUAACACAUGCAAGUCGAACGAAGUGGCGAACGGGUGAGUAACGCGUAAUCAACCUGCCCAUCAGAGGGGGACAACAGUUGGAAACGACUGCUAAUACCGCAUACUGAAGGAGGGGCUUGCGUCUGAUUAGCUAGUUGGAGGGGUAAGGGCCCACCAAGGCGAGGAUCAGUAGGCGGGCUGAGAGGAUGAAAGGCCACAUGGGGACUGAGAAACGGGCCAGACUCCCAAGGGAGGCAGCAGUGGGGGAUCUUCCGGAAUUGAAGAAAGGCUGAAGGAGCAACGCCGCGGGGGUGAUGACGGCCUUCGGGUUGGAAAGAUCUGUUAGUCGGGACGCGGUACCGGAAUAGAAAGCCACGGCUAACUACGUGCCAGCAGCAGCGGUAAUAC